AUUGAACGCUGGCGGCAGGCCUAACACAUGCAAGUCGAACGAGUGGCGGACGGGUGAGUAAUGUCUGGGAAACUGCCUGAUGGAGGGGGAUAACUACUGGAAACGGUAGCUAAUACCGCAUACCAUCAGAUGUGCCCAGAGGGGAUUAGCUUGUUGGUGGGGUAACGGCUCACAAAGGCGACGAUCCCUAGCUGGUUUGAGAGGAUGACCGGCCACACGGGACCUGAGCCAGGGUCCAGACCCUUACGGGAGGAGGAAGUGGGGAAUGUUGCACAAUGGGCGCAAGCCUGAUGCAGCCAUGCCGCGUGUAUGAAGAAGGCCUUCGGGUUGUAAAGUCCUUUCAGCGGGGAGGCGUUACCCGAAGAGAAGCACCGGCUAACUCCGUGCCAGCAGCCGCGGUAAUAC
rnacentral:rRNA from 1 species